CAGGCUGGGAUACAGAGCUGCUGAUUGGGGCUAUUAUGUUGCUGCUUGCCUGUGGGGCAAUGACUCUCUACUUAGUUCUUCAAAGACGAACUGGACAUGUUACAAUUACUAAAGCCAAUGGAAAAGCCAAUCAUGAACUAGAAGCUGGGGAAUGUAAGAAGUUGACAUUGAACAGCACAGCUAACGGAGAACAGGACACGGGACUGCAGAGUAACAAAGAGGCCACACCGGGUCCACAACUGAAGCACUCCGUUUGAGGAGCAUACAAAUAGUUUUUGAAGACUGGUCUUUAAAUGUACAUGCUGCUAUCAUGUCUGGUGUAGCCAGUUUCAUUGUACUGGAAGCUAAAUGUUGUGGUAGACGCAACACGAAUGAAUUGUUCAGUUUUCAGUGCCCGGUUCUCAGUAGGCUUCAUGUAGAACUCUACUGAAUAACGGUGUGACAGAGCGCACCGCGUCUGUCACUGGGCCUGGCGCAUUCCCGCCAGUUGUAGA